UACGUAGGUGGCAAGCGUUGUCCGGAAUCAUUGGGCGUAAAGGGCGCGUAGGUGGCGGGACAAGCGUGCGGUGAAAGCCUGGGGCUCAACCCCGGGUCGGCCGUGCGAACUGUUUUGCUUGAGCACUGUAGAGGCAGGCGGAAUUCCGGGUGUAGCGGUGGAAUGCGUAGAGAUCCGGAAGAACACCGGUGGCGAAGGCGGGUCUCUGGGCCGGACCUGACGCUGAGACGCGAAGGCGUGGGGAGCGAACGGG
rnacentral:rRNA from 1 species